rnacentral:rRNA from 1 species
UACGGGGGGGGCAAGCGUUGUUCGGAAUUACUGGGCGUAAAGGGCUCGUAGGCGGCCAACUAAGUCGGAUGUGAAAUCCCCAGGCUUAACCUGGGAACUGCAUCCGAUACUGGAUGGCUUGAAUCCGGGAGAGGGAUGCAGAAUUCCAGGUGUAGCGGUGAAAUGCGUAGAUAUCUGGAGGAAUACCGGUGGCGAAGGCGGCAUCCUGGACCGGCAUUGACGCUGAUGAGCGAAAAGCUAGGGGAGCAAACGGGG